rnacentral:rRNA from 1 species
UAACACAUGCAAGUCGAGCGGAAACGAAGGUAGCUUGCUACCAGGCGUCGAGCGGCGGACGGGUGAGUAAUGCUUAGGAAUCUACCGAGUAGUGGGGGAUAGCCAUUGGAAACGAUGAUUAAUACCGCAUAUAUCCUACGGGGGAAAGCAGGGGACCUUCGGGCCUUGCGCUAUUCGAUGAGCCUGAGUGAGAUUAGCUAGUUGGUGGGGUAAAGGCCUACCAAGGCGACGAUCUCUAGCUGGUCUGAGAGGAUGAUCAGCCACACUGGGACUGAGACACGGCCCAGACUCCUACGGGAGGCAGCAGUGGGGAAUAUUGCACAAUGGACGAAAGUCUGAUGCAGCCAUGCCGCGUGUGUGAAGAAGGCCUUCGGGUUGUAAAGCACUUUCAGCGAGGAGGAAAGGUCAGUAAGUAAUAUUUGCUGGCUGUGACGUUACUCGCAGAAGAAGCACCGGCUAAUUUAGUGCCAGCAGCCGCGGUAAUACUAAAGGUGCAAGCGUUAAUCGGAAUUACUGGGCGUAAAGCGCGCGUAGGUGGUUUGUUAAGUUGGAUGUGAAAGCCCAGGGCUCAACCUUGGAACUGCAUUCAAAACUGACUCACUAGAGUACGAGAGAGGUUAGUGGAAUUUCCUGUGUAGCGGUGAAAUGCGUAGAGAUGGGAAGGAACACCAGUGGCGAAGGCGACUGACUGGCUCGAUACUGACACU